rnacentral:rRNA from 1 species
UAGGGAAUCUUCCACAAUGGACGCAAGUCUGAUGGAGCAACGCCGCGUGAGUGAAGAAGGGCUUCGGCUCGUAAAGCUCUGUUGUUAAAGAAGAACACGUAUGAGAGUAACUGUUCAUACGUUGACGGUAUUUAACCAGAAAGUCACGGCUAACUACGUGCCAG